CCAAUAAUUAAAACCCUAAAAAAACUAUACCUUUUUUUUCAAAACCCCAAAAAUACCCCCAAACUAAAACUAUCUCUCUUUCUCUCUCUAUCUAGCCGGUCCCAAUAAUCCCACACCCCAGGUCCGAUGGUCGGACCAUGGGGUCCGACCAUCGGACCUCUCUCUUCCCCUCUCUCUCAAAUCGCAGGAAAAAAAAAAAAAAAAAAAAAAAAUUAAA